UACGAAGGGAGCAAGCGUUGUUCGGAUUUACUGGGCGUAAAGGAUGCGUAGGUGGUUUAUUAAGUUGGAAGUGAAAGCCCCAGGCUUAACUUGGGAAUUGCUUUCAAAACUGGUAGACUUGAGUAUGGAAGAGGUUGGUGGAAUUCCCAGUGUAGAGGUGAAAUUCGUAGAUAUUGGGAAGAACAUCCGUGGCGAAGGCGGCCAACUGGUCCAUUACUGACACUGAGGCAUGACAGCGUGGGGAGCAAACAGG
rnacentral:rRNA from 1 species